CCUACGGGUGGCAGCAGUGGGGGAUAUUGCACAAUGGGGGGAACCCUGACCCAGCGAUGCCGCGUGGGUGAAGGAGCGUUUCGGCUCGUAAAGCUCUAUCGGCCGUGACGAAGAUGACGGUACCUGCCCAAGAAGCCCCGGCUAACUUCGUGCCAGCAGCCGCGGUAAUACGUAGGGGGCAAGCGUUGUACGGAUUUACUGGGUGUAAAGGGGGUGCAGGCGGAAAUGCAAGCCAGCGGUGAAAGGCCGGGGCCCAACCCCGGGACUGCCCUUGGGACUGUGUAGCUAGAGUACAGGAGAGGAUGGCGGAAUACCCAGUGUAGCGGUGAAAUUCGUAGAUAUUGGGUAGAACACAGGUGGCGAAGGCGGCCAGCUGGACAGUGACUGACGUUGAGGCUCGAAAGCGUGGGGAGCAAACAGGAUUAGAUACCCUGGUAGUC
rnacentral:rRNA from 1 species